rnacentral:misc_RNA from 1 species
CCUUGUGGAGGAGGACGCCGAAGGUGGGGCUAAUGACUGGGGUGAAGUCGUAACAAGGUAGCCGUACCGGAAGGUGCGGCUGGAUCACCUCCUAACAGGGAGACAACAAAAUGUUUAAUAUUAUUAUUUUGUCACCUUAGGUCGAUCGGUAUCUCACGUUCUUAAUUUUUUGAGAAUUUCAUUUCCUAAGUUUUUCUAGGUCACACCCAUUAUUUUUCCUGGGCCAUUAGCUCAGGUGGUUAGAGCGCACCCCUGAUAAGGGUGAGGUCCCUGGUUCAAGUCCAGGAUGGCCCAUAUCUCUAUGUUGGGGGUAUAGCUCAGUUGGUAGAGCGCCUGCUUUGCAAGCAGGAUGUCAGCGGUUCGAGUCCGCUUACCUCCACUGAUUACCACCUCUUCCAUAACCGGUAGAAAGGAAAUGUUUUGAGUUGUGAUCAUUAUUCUGAACGAAUCUAGCUUCCUAAUGAAAUCAUUAAGAUGCUGGACUCAUUGAAUUAAUUUCAUUGUUUUCAGAGAACCUUGACAACUGCAUAGAUUUUUUUAAAGACAAUAAGCAUCUUUAAUGAUGCAGAUUUAUUAUUUGUGCGAAUGCAUUAAUAACAAUUCUAUUAAGCUGAUGCUUCAAUUUUUGAAGUUAUUGGUCAAGCUACAAAGGGCUCACGGAGGAUACCUAGGCACACAGAGGCG